AUUGAACGCUGGCGGCAGGCCUAACACAUGCAAGUCGAACGGAGUGGCAGACGGGUGAGUAAUGUCUGGGAAACUGCCUGAUGGCGAGGGAUAAAUACUGGAAACGGUAGCUAAUACCGCAUCCUAUCAGAUGAGCCUAUGUCGGAUUAGCUAUUUGGGGGGGUAAAGGCCUACCAAGGCGACGAUCCGUAACUGGUCUGAGAGGAUGAUUAGUCAAACUGGAACGGAGACAAGGUCCAUACUCCUACGGGAGGCAGCAGGGGGGAAGAGUGGACAAUGGGCGAAAGCCUGAUCCAGCCAUGCCGCGGGUGUGAAGAAGGUCUUCGGAUUGUAAAGCACUUUAAGUUGGGAGGCGUUACCAACAGAAUAAGCACCGGCGAACUUCGUGCCAGCAGCCGCGGUAAUUC
rnacentral:rRNA from 1 species